GUUUCUCAGAGCGCCAGCCAGUCUCAGCUCAGGUGGGUAGACCGCUUUGAGACCUCCUGACGUGCACACCACGCGCUUCCUCUUCCUAAUGAUGAAUACCAGCAAAAAUAAACUGGGGAAGGAACCGCGGGUGUUGAGCUGGCAAGGUUGUAAACCCUUGCCAACAAUACCAGACAAGAACUUCGCUGUCUUCAUGUUGGAAGCGAUGGCGAAGGUAGUCGAGGGAGAUGACGAAGCCAUUGCCGUGGUGGAUGCAGAGACCGGGAAGAAAAGAACUUUCUCUGAGUUAUGUGAGUUAGUGCCGAGGAUGUCGGCCGGGCUGGCGGCAGCAGGGGUCGGUCUGGGUGACAGGGUAAUGUAUUACUCACUGAACCAUACAGACUACCCGCUGGUCUAUCUGUCCAUCCUGCAUCGAGGAGCAACCAUCGUUCACAUCUCUCCAAUCUACGAAGGGUUGCAAGAGGGCAUGAUGCACGCCAUGAGGCUAAGCGGUGCUAGCUGGGCAAUAGUACACGCUGAGCUGCUAGACCAGGCUGAAGCCGUCUUUUCCCUCCUGCCACCAAAUACCCUGAAGAAGGUGUGGGUGAUUGGCGGCGCCGUGGACCGGCCAGCCAUUGAAGACCUUGUGGGCCAUGCUCCGAUACCUCCAGUCACUCAGCUUGAUGGUCUACAUCCGGCCAGUGCUGUGGCACAAAUGCCCUUCUCUUCUGGCACAACAGGAUCACGCAAAGGAGUGAUGAUCUCACACUCCAACGAAGUUUCCAGGAUGAUAAUGUUCAAAUACUUGGCAGACGUUCAAGAGUGGUUGGGUACAUCGGAGUCUACUAAUUCAACUUGUCUUUUGGUUACGUCAUUGAGCCACAUAUACUCGCACUACUUUCUUUUCGCCUCCUUGAUGUUUGGCGGGAAGGUUGUCCUUUUACCUCAUGUUAGCAACAACGCCAUGUUGAGGACAAUACAGGAACACCAGGUGACUUUGGCAAUCUUUACACCACACCAUCUGAAAAUGAUCGUAGAAUCACCGGCCUGCCAGGAACAUGACUUGUCCUCCCUGAAACUCGUCACCAGUGCUGGAGCUUCCCUUUCAGAGUACGGUGUGAAGAAUUUCAAAAACAAGGUGGAGGCAUUAGUAUACAACUUAUGGGGAAUGACGGAAGUUGCCUCCUUUGGUAUCGGCUGCAUUGUUACACAGGACUGGAAAAGCCUUUGUAUUGGAAAAGUCUUGCCCUUCUUCGAAGUUAAGGUAGUGGACCCAAGUAGCGGGCAGCUCUUGGGGACUGAUGAGCCUGGAGAAAUAUGUGUGCGGAGCCCCACCACAAUGAUCGGCUACGCUAACAACUCGGCUGCUACCUCCUCCAUGAUAGAUGCUGAAGGUUGGGUUCACACGGGUGAUUACGGCUAUUACGACAGCCAGGGCUUGAUCUACUUGACUGACAGAAUUAAAGACCUCAUCAAAGCUAAGUCAUCUUUCCAGGUACAGCCGUCUGAACUGGAGGAUUUGCUGCUACAACACCCACAUGUGGCUGAAGCUGCGGUGAUUGGCGUGUGUCAGGAUGACUUUGAGGAGAUGCCGCGGGCAUUCGUGGUGCUGGAGCCAGAAGCUCCCGUCCAACCUGAGGUCCUCCAGCGGUUUGUCAAUGAUCGCGUUCCUGACUUCAAGCAGCUGACCGGCGGGGUGUGGGUGGUGGAGGAGAUCCCCAAAAACAGCACUGGCAAACCUCUGAAGCGACAACUCAAGGCUGGUCAAGUUACACAACUGGCAUCCUGCUGUUGAUUACUACGCAAUACCUUUGCUUUCGUGGAACUAAAAGUGAGGAGACUCUCCAGCAGCGAGAAACCACUUCCCACGCCGUACACCACCACACUGAGACAACUGGCCCAUCAGUCUUCGCUCGGCAGCCUCCGUGCCGCAAAGGCAGAGUUCGAUUCCCUACUAAAGGAUGGAAUUAUACAAGCAUCCGAGAGUUGUUGGGUGUCUCCUCCUCAUAUGGUGCCAAAGCCUUCAGAUGAGGAGUGGCGUGCAUGUGGGUACUACAGAGCACUGAACAAAGUUACGGUGCCAGAUAGAUAUCCAAUCCCACAUAUUCAAGAUUUCCAUCUGAAGUUAAAAGGACAAACUAUUUUUUUUCAAAAAUUGAUUUAGUGAGGGCCUUCCAUCAGAAACCAGUGCACCCACCAGACAUACCUAAAACAGCUGUCGCCACAACAUUUGGAUUAUUUAUUUAUGAAUUUUGGUUUACGUAAUGCUGCACAGACCUUCCAACGACACAUGGAUCAUAUUUUGCGCGACAUGAGAUUUGCAACGGUGUGCAUCGACGACAUUCUUGUGGCAUCAAACAGUAGGAAGAAACAUUGCACUAACCUUCGGGAUCUGCUGACUCGCCUUUGAGACAACAAUAUCAAGAUUCAUCCAGCUAAGUGUGUUUUUGGAGUAGAGGCAGUGGAUUUUCUUGGACAUGAAAUUAGUAAGGAAGUUAUUUACCCUGCUACAAAAAGUAGAAAUUAUUCGUCAGAUUCCACAGCUAACUUCAGCGAGUUUCAGGAGUUUCAGCUCAGGGAGUUUCCUUGGAGUUGUGAUCUGUUACCACCGCUUCAUCCCCAAAGCUGCAGAGAAGUCACACCUAUUCCAUAAUCUCCUGAAAGGUCUUCCCCACAGAUCUACAUUUAUGCUUAAAUGGACGCAAGAGGCUGCAGCUACUAUCGCUACCAUUAAAGAAGAAAUAGCUCGGUUUCCUCACCUUACUUAUCCGGAUCCUGAAGCACAACUGCAGCAGACCAGCAAAGGCGAGGUAUCUCCAAUCGGUUUCUACUCUAAACGCCACCAUGCUGCCUAAAUCAAAUAUGCUGCAUUUGACCGAGAGCUACUGGCAAUAUACAUAGCUGUGCAACAUUUAAAACACCUUCUGAAGGGUAGGCAGUUUUACAUCCUCUGUGAUAAUAAACCCUGAACAUUUGCUAUGACACGCCCUUCAGACACCUACACUCCACGAGUGCAGCGACAGCUUUCAUAUAUCUCUGAAUUCACGACUGACAUUUGUCAUAUUAGGGGAGUGGAGAAUCCUGUGGUCGACGCUAUCUUGCGCUCCAUCACUGCCAUGACUCAAUACCCACCGCCGCUUGAGUACCAACAAAUCACUAACGCGCAAGAGACCGACGACGACCUAGUUGAGUUUAGAAGAAAUCCUAUGUCUUUAGAGCUUCAUCCCUUCCAGGUUUCUGGUACAUCCCUUCAGGUGUGGUGCGACGUGUCGGGAAGAGUCAUCCUGGAGUCAAAGCCACGCGACGACUCAACUCGUUCUGUGGUGCGACCUCAGAUUCGCUCUUGGACCCAGCAAUGUAUCUCCUGUUAGGCAUCAAAGGUUCAUCGUCAUGUGAAGGCUCCAUAGCAACCCUUUCCUUUACCAAGAUGUAGGUUUCAGACGGUUCGUGUGGAUAUUCUAGGUCCUUGGCCUCCAUCUAGAGGACACAGGUAUUUGCUAACUAGCACUGAUCAUUUCACCAGAUAGACUACAGCAACUCCAAUGCCUGAAAUCUCUGCAGAAUCGACAGCUUCAGCAUUUCUCUGAGGAUGGGUCUCUCACUUUGGCGCACCUAACACAGUCAUAACUGACCGCGGUGCCCAGUUCGAAUCCCACCUAUGGCAGGAGGACUGCUUACCAUCCACAGGCUAAAGAUAUGGUUGAAGGCUUUCAUCGCCACCUCAAGGACGCCCUGAAAACUCAUCCUUACCCGUUGACUCUUUACUGCUUGUGAUGCUCGCCCCUCGAAUCACAACAAAAGAAGAUUUGCAAGUCCAGUAGAACUUAACUUCGGCCAGAUCCUACCAGGGCAGUUCUCUGCAGCGAUGAACAAAGAGAAUAGUAAUGACAAGUACGCAUUUCUGAACUCUAAACAUCAGAUCACUUCAAAGAUGUUCGCUACUCCACCUCGCCAGCCUGUAUGUGAGAAUAAAAUGUAACAUGUUAUGAUCAGAACUUCCAAGUGGGGUUUUCUUCACAACAGGGUAGGUGUCUUUUACAAUGCAAAACAUAAGAUCUAGUGUGUUCUUUCCUCGGGUCGUGCAUUCAACGUAUUGCUCGUAGAAAGUUAUUUGGUCGUGAAAAUUACAGCCAAUAAUUUAAACACUUUCAGGGAUACUAUUUUCAAAUUUCUUAAAGCGGUUUGACAACAGUUCAUCUGCCACUUCCAUAUUAACAGAUGGAGGUACAUAUACACUGAAAAUUAACAGGUACAGUAUGAAACUCCCUGGGUAAAUAACAGGGUCGACAGGACACAACCAUGUAUUCUAGAUCAUCACAUUAAUGACACACACACACACACACACACACACACACAUUUAUAUCUUGACACUUGGUUCAGGCCUAUGAGCUUAGAGCCCAAAGUUUAUUAACACAAGAAUUACACAAAGAUGAAAUAGUGACCUGAAACUUUCACACUAGCAAGAUUGAUGUCUAUUUUACCACUCAGAGGGCAUCUUAAAAUUCAUUGUAUGGUUUAAUCAUAUCCACAAUUCAAAUUUAAGAUUAAGAAAUUUCGUGAUAUAAAAACUUUAUUAUGCAACAGACUUAACGUUCACUAAGUUUCAUGUCUGGCAGACACACUCUUUAUAAAAGUUGUGGAUGAUUCCCAGAUGGUUCAGUAGGUGAAUGGUACAGCUACGACCUAUCCUGAUACAAAGAUUUAUUGGUCAGUAAUGUAUAAUAAAGUACCCUCUUAAAACUAUUGAGCGUUUUACAUAAAACCUUCCUUGGGUUCCUCCUUAACGCCUGUAGGUUCAGUAAAUUUCCAAUAAAGCACAGGCAGAGAUGACUUUGUGAACACACAUUGCACUAAUCUAGCAUUAAUCUACUGAUUGAUUUAAGCUGAGGCCGCAACAUCGCGGUCAUCUCGCGCCGCUGUAAACAACCAAGAUUGAUUGAUUGGUUUAGGUUAUGACAUCGCUACAAAACUUUAAAAGCAACAAAGAGUGUAGAUUAGAAUAUUGAUAUUAAAACAAAAUUACAGGUACGGUAAUAAUGUUAAGAGAUCACUAAAAGUAAACAUAAAAAAAGGAAAUGGGAUGAACCAUCAAAACCUUAAGUGUUAAAAAUGAGAAGGUUGGUAUUUUAAUGUAUUAAUUCAAUUAACUUACAGAGCGUACUGACUUGACCCCAUUGACCCAGACCACUGUGUCUAGCAUUGUUCGUUGACAUUGACCACUGAGCCAGAUAUCUGGCGUUGUUUCUUUUUAUGCUUAAGACACCGACUCUACUGACCCAGAUAUCUGCCGUUCUUCGUUAGUGGUAUAGUAAAAACAAACAAAAAGUCACUAAAAAUGCAAGCAUAUAAAAAGAAAUAGGAUUAAUUAGUGAAAAAUGAGGUUCUACAAAUGAAGAAGGUUGGUAUUUGAAUAUAUUAAUUUCAAGUGAGCGGUAUUUGGAGUGGAAGCGCUGUAUCAAGGAAUUAAUGCUGUGGAGAGCUUUGCCACGGCCGAAAUCAAGCUUGAAUGCCCGCUAGUGACUGCGGAGGCGCCGGUGAGCGGAGGACCUGCCAGUGACGAGAGUAAAUUUCCUCCUCGGAAAUUAAUUGGAAUGACCUGGCAGGUGGUGUGACCCCCGUGCUGCAAAUUAAGCUUGCAUCAUGAGAUAAGGAACAAGAUGAGGAACAAGAACCUGCGAAGAGACUUGGAGUAUG